GUCGGGGCGGGGCGGCACCGCCGAGCUCCGAGCUGUGAGGACCGCCCCGGGCCUUGGGCGGGGCGGGGGCCAGGGAAGGGCGUGCGCAGGAUUGGGGAGCACGUUUUGCGUCUUGCUGUGCGUGAGGAAGCGGGGAUCCAGGUCAAGGCUAUGGAAAGGUCAGGGAAGGGUGUCAGUGCGCCCGUCCUGCAGGGAGUCCAGAUCCGAGAGUUCCAGAAGCAAAAACAAAAAAAGUUCGGGUACAGCGGCUCACACCUGUAAUCCCAGCUCUUAGGGAGAUGGAAACUGGAGGAUCACUUGAGGCCAGGAGUUCAAGACCAGCCUGGGCAACAUAGCAAGACCCAGUCUCUUAAAAGAAAAUUAAAAAGAAAGAGUAAAUAAAGUUCCAGAAGCUUUGCUCUCCUUAUCCAA
rnacentral:lncRNA from 1 species